rnacentral:rRNA from 1 species
GAUCCUGGCUCAGGAUGAACGCUAGCUACAGGCUUAACACAUGCAAGUCGAGGGGCAUCAGUUUGGUUUGCUUGCAAACCAAAGCUGGCGACCGGCGCACGGGUGAGUAACACGUAUCCAACCUGCCUCAUACUCGGGGAUAGCCUUUCGAAAGAAAGAUUAAUAUCCGAUAGCAUAUAUUUCCCGCAUGGGUUUUAUAUUAAAGAAAUUCGGUAUGAGAUGGGGAUGCGUCUGAUUAG